UCCCUGGUGGUCUAGUGGUUAGGACUUGGUGCUUUCACCGCUGUGACCUGGGUUGAAUCCCUGGUCUGGGAA
rnacentral:tRNA from 1 species